UGGGGAAUAUUGGACAAUGGGCGAAAGCCUGAUCCAGCCAUGCCGCGUGUGUGAAGAAGGUCUUCGGAUUGUAAAGCACUUUAAGUUGGGAGGAAGGGCAUUAACCUAAUACGUUAGUGUUUUGACGUUACCGACAGAAUAAGCACCGGCUAACUCUGUGCCAGCAGCCGCGGUAAUACAGAGGGUGCAAGCGUUAAUCGGAAUUACUGGGCGUAAAGCGCGCGUAGGUGGUUUGUUAAGUUGGAUGUGAAAUCCCCGGGCUCAACCUGGGAACUGCAUUCAAAACUGACUGACUAGAGUAUGGUAGAGGGUGGUGGAAUGUCCUGUGUAGCGGUGAAAUGCGUAGAUAUAGGAAGGAACACCAGUGGCUAAGGCGACCACCUGGACUAAUACUGACACUGAGGUGCGAAAGCGUGGGGAGCAAACA
rnacentral:rRNA from 1 species